rnacentral:lncRNA from 1 species
UAUAUUGUAGUAACUGAAAAAAAAAAAGAGAAAAAGUGGGGGGAAACGACAUCGUUUUGAGAAAGCAGGUGAGAUAAAUAGGGGACGUGAAAGAAAAGAAAGAGGGAAGAGAAGAAAAAAAAAGGAAAGAAAAGAGAAAAACAGAGAAGGAAGAGAGCGGGAAGGAGAAAAGAAGAGAGAAAAGAAGGUUCGAGAAAGAGAGAGAGGGGAGUCGGAGCGGAGAGGAGUGAGAAGGGAGA